rnacentral:rRNA from 1 species
AGUGAACGCUGGCGGUAGGCCUAACACAUGCAAGUCGAACGGCAGCACAGUAAGAGCUUGCUCUUACGGGUGGCGAGUGGCGGACGGGUGAGGAAUACAUCGGAAUCUACUUUUUCGUGGGGGAUAACGUAGGGAAACUUACGCGAAUACCGCAUACGACCUACGGGUGAAAGCAGGGGAUCUUCGGACCUUUCGCGAUUGAAUGAGCCUAUGUCGGAUUAGCUAGUUGGCGGGGUAAAGGCCCACCAAGGCGACGAUCCGUAGCUGGUCUGAGAGGAUGAUCAGCCACACUGGAACUGAGACACGGUCCAGACUCCUACGGGAGGCCGCAGUGGGGAAUAUUGGACAAUGGGCGAAAGCCUGAUACAGCCAUACCGCGUGGGUGAAGAAGGCCUUCGGGUUGUAAAGCCCUUUUGUUGGGAAAGAAAAGCAGCAGGUUAAUACCCCGCUGUUAUGACGGUACCCAAAGAAUAAGCACCGGCUAACUUCGUG